CUCUGAGUCACUAAGUGAUUGUGACAACACCUCGUACAGUUGUUGGUGGCAUUAAAUCCGAUGGUGCAUAAGAUUUUUUUGCAAAAACUGUAAAGGAGGAUGUGGCUGUAGGGGCUGGUAGUCCUCAUGAGUAUGACUGCUCUUCUUUCCCACAGCUAAAAGAAUAUCAGCAGAGGAGCAGCCCUGGUGUUCCCACAGGAGUGAAGACGAAAAAGAAAAAUACUGGCCGUAGCCCUGAGACAACCACUUCUGGUGGUUGCCACUCACCUGGGGAUAUUCAGGACAUUCUGAAGGUGCUGGUGUCCAACCUUCACCAUUCCAGUG
rnacentral:lncRNA from 10 species